rnacentral:rRNA from 1 species
AUUGAACGCUGGCGGCAGGCCUAACACAUGCAAGUCGAGCGGAUGACGGGAGCUUGCUCCUUGAUUCAGCGGCGGACGGGUGAGUAAUGCCUAGGAAUCUGCCUGGUAGUGGGGGACAACGUUUCGAAAGGAACGCUAAUACCGCAUACGUCCUACGGGAGAAAGCAGGGGACCUUCGGGCCUUGCGCUAUCAGAUGAGCCUAGGUCGGAUUAGCUAGUAGGUGAGGUAAUGGCUCACCUAGGCGACGAUCCGUAACUGGUCUGAGAGGAUGAUCAGUCACACUGGAACUGAGACACGUUCCAGACUCCUACGGGAGGCAGCAGUGGGGAAUAUUGGACAAUGGGCGAAAGCCUGAUCCAGCCAUGCCGCGUGUGUGAAGAAGGUCUUCGGAUUGUAAAGCACUUUAAGUUGGGAGGAAGGGUUGUACGUUAAUACCGUGCAAUUUUGACGUUACCGACAGAAUAAGCACCGGCUAACUCUGUGCCAGCCGCCGCGGUAAGAC